CCAAUAGCGUAUAUUAAAGUUGUUGCAGUUAAAAAGCUCGUAGUUGAAUUUUAGGCCUGGCCGGACGGUCCGUCUCUGGCGAGUACUGUUCUGUCGUCGGGUCUAUCCUUCUGGUGAGCCGGUAUGUUCUUAAUUGAGCGUGCCGGGGAGCCAGGACCAUUACCUUGAAAAAAUUAGAGUGUUUAAAGCAGGCUUUUGCUUGAAUAGAUUAGCAUGGAAUAAUAGAAUAGGACGUUGUGGUUCUAUUUUGUUGGUUCAAGGACCACCGUAAUGAUUAAUAGGGAUAGUUGGGGGCAUUAGUAUUCAAUUGUCAGAGGUGAAAUUCUUGGAUUUAUUGAAGACUAACUACUGCGAAAGCAUUUGCCAAGGAUGUUUUCAUUAAUCAAGAACGAAAGUUAGGGGAUCGAAGACGAUCAGAUACCGUCGUAGUCUUAACCAUAAACUAUGCCGACUAGGAAUCGGGCGACGUUAUUUUUACGACUCGCUCGGCGCCUUAUG
rnacentral:rRNA from 1 species